UGAUUUUGCCCCCUUAGAAAUUUGUGUCAUCUUUCAGUAAAAUCUUCCCAUCUAAUAUAGACAUUUGCAUCGCGACUAGAUGUGAAAACAGAUGCGCUUUUUUGAUUUCAGAACACAUUUUGUGUCGAGCAAAGUGAAAUACUUAUUUCUGAAUCAUUUGCGUGGGUUCUGGUUCUGUUUCCGAAUCUUUUCUACGCGAUUUGUAAUGGCCAAAGAGAUUGCGGUCACUUCGGAGAUUUCAUGUCAAAUCUUAUUUUAUUUUGACAGUCGCACUUUGAGAAAGUUUUGUAUUUGCAGCCGCUGCCAAGCGAAUGCGAACCAAAAAAAAUAGAUAAGUAAAAACAGUGCCAUUCGCUUCCUGUUGCAUUCGACAGUUUAUGCAACUCAGGAAACCACUUCGCAUUACUUUUUAUGCAACUCGCAGCGGGCCUCCAGUUUUAUUUUUAUUUUUAGUUGCCGCUUAUCAAUUUUAAUGUCAAUUGAAACCGGCAGCGGGUAAUAAUGCAUACUAAUAACAAUAGCAACAAAGUCUGGCGAAUCGAGAGCUUAAAUCAAACUCGAAUUGCCGCUGCGAAGUGCGAACCACUCGCUUCCAAGUCGCGAUUCAAACUGCCUCGUAAAUUUACAGACCGCCGAAGUCGGGAACUCGGAAACUCGGGAUCGCAUCGUAGCGCAUUGGAUCGGAUUCUUCAAAAGCCGGGUCUUCGAGGAAAACGAAGCUGCGAGUCUCCGAUGACGAGGAGAAAGACGAAGCUGCGAAGACGUCAGCUUAGAAGGGUUUUUAAAUUAAACUAAGCGUUGUAAACAAGAUCAUUGUGGGCAUGCCGUAAAAAAGGGUAAAAUAUAAAAAGGGUGAAUUUAAAAUGACAAAUAUCAGCUAUAAAACUGAACAAGUAUUCGUUCUUUGUAAUUAUUUCUCAAUUCUUAUUUCGAAAUUCAUUAUUGUUUAAGUCUUACUUUUACAUUUUACCAAAACUUAAAACGAUCAUCUGUAUACACACACAUUUUCUGUACACUUCGUGACUGGAAUGUGACCACAUAAAAAGGGACAACGAAAUUUUUGGGCUGGGCCCACAUCUGCCCAAGCUGAUGAGAUGAAUCACCAGAAAAGAAGAAUUCAACCAAGAAGGCCUAACGCGAAAUUCAUUUAGUCGCACUAAAAAUAAACCAAUGCAAGUUCAGCAACUUGAGGCACAAUGAUGUAAUUGUCUAAAAAUUCAAUAGCUGCCAAGAAACUAAGAAAAAAGGUAGAGGAUCGAGAGCAGCAAGCCACCUUAUCUCGAGAAGUAAUGAAUCACACACAGAAGCAAUAAAAGUAAUCAGCAAUAAGCAGGCAUUCUUGCAGCUCGUAGAUACAUCAGCCAGAUACAGAUACAGCAGCAGAUAUAUAUAUAUAUACAGAUACAGAUACAAACGGGGAAAACAGAGGGUCGCAGUUGAUUUUAGAAGUUUAUGAACAGCUCGGGCUACUGCUGUUUUUCUGCCCCUUUCCGCCGCUGUUGUCACUACAGCGAGGAGGGCAUGGACUAAUGAACAAGUACAGCAGCAACAUCAACAGCACCGCAGCAACAUUGCGGCAUUGCAGCAACAUCGCAGCAGCAACAAUGAUAAUGAAGUAGACUGCGGCGAGCUGCAGCAGAAAACUGCAAGUAUAUCAAAUUUACAAAACAAUUUACAACAGCAUGAGGCGAGGCCUGCAGCUGGAAGAUGAGCACGUUCAAGAUCUCCAGCCGGAGAUCAAAUGCUGUGGACCCUGCGAAGCCCCUAAAACAACAACUUCUGCCAGUUAGAAGCAGUCCAAAAGCAACCUUCGGUCGCCUCCUUUUCCAUCUUUAUUUCUUCGCUUUGUAAUUGUUGCUACAGUUAGGGAAAAACGUAAGUAAACUUCUUAAAAACAUAUAUUUCCAAGAGGCAAGUGUUUGGUUUAAUCAAAAAGUUGAAGAUCAGACGAAUUUAUUUGAAAGAUAAUUGCUAUAGUUUAGAGACUUACUGCCUACAGCUUAGGAACCAAACGUAUAUUUUUGAGUUACAUUUUUUCUCGGAGUGUCUGGUCUGGCUGCUGUAGCUGCUCUUGGUUUGCUUUCCCAGAUGCUGCGCUUGCCACAGCCCACAAGGCAAGUUUGGAAAAUUAUGGCAAAAUCUGCCCUCUUGGAACCGAAACUCCUGGAUGCUGGAUGCAAGAUGCUGGAUGCUAGAUGCUGGAUGCUAGUUGCUGUAUUCUGGAUGCGGCACUCUGGCGGGCCCUUCAUUACUAUGCGCAUUUUCAUUUGCUCCGCUCGUUUGCUCACUCGCUUUCUGCGAUCGCGGCCUGAUAAAUUGUGCUAAAUUACAAAGAUUUCUUUCUGCCUUGACACGCGCUUGGGGACUGCGUCAAAGAGUUGGGCAGACUAAUUGCGCAUACGCCACCUGGGACGUCUGCCAAACAGCGCAUGAAUUCGAGUGUCUCGCGUCCAUCAGAGCAGGGAAAACAGAAAUUCAUCUUAAUUAUUAAUAAAUUGUACUAUAAUGGGCGUCAAGUGUCGUGGGGCGGAAAAUGAGGGUAGAACUUUGGGUGGGGAACAAGCGAAAUGGGCACUCCCUUUCAGAUGAUGUAUCUUCUCUAAAUAUACGCUCUGCACAUUGACCUUGUCCUGUCGCCAAGCACACAGAAAAUAAUACUUUGCAGUUUGUAAAACAAUGUAAUGCAAGUAAAAUUCUCGCAAGAGGAACCCACACAAUUCUUUCUCUCAGUGCACUGAGCCACCAUGAAAAUAGGGAACCCAAAACAGUAACAGCUGUAGCAACCACAACAAUAACAAAAGCGACAGCACUUGAAAACUCAUUUGGCCUGAGAGUGGGGAAUAUAAUAUGCAUUUUGUUUGGUGUGUGGGUCAGAAGAUCGCUCUGACACGAUUUCCUCACAAUUUCUCCACCCAACAGACGAUGGGAUGGUGGGCACCAUAUAUAUACACAUAUAAACUCGUAUAAGGAGGC